rnacentral:tRNA from 1 species
GGGAGCGGGCGGCGCGGGCCGGGGUUCUGCUCUGGGCAGAGCGGGAUCAGAGCGCCAGACUCCCGAGCCCGGAUCGCACCCGGGCGAGCUCCC